rnacentral:lncRNA from 1 species
AUCUAAAGCCUAGUAGAAGGGGCUGCUGGCAGCCUGGUUUCUGAUCUUGCUUCAGUGAAGGAAGAGGUUCCCUAUGCUGCUCUGAUUUGGUCCUAUGAAGACAAAGUGGAGUGAAGUGGGAUUAACAUAAAGAAAAAAAAGACAUCAGAAGAAAAGGUUUGGAAGUGAAAGAUUGAGCAAAUGUACUUGUGGCAAAAUCAUUUGAAGGAGUCAGGAUGAAAAAUGAUGUACAUAUUGUUCCUGAAGACAGCAAGUCACAGAGACAUGAUUCAAGGCUGGAUCUUAGGAAGAGCAAGUAGAAGCAAGGCUACAUCAGAGAUGAAGUGAAGGAUGCCAGGCGUACCUCUGGACCUGAAUUUCUCCAGCAAAUAGAACAGACUGCUUAGAGAUCUUCCUUGGUGAAAUGAAAUCAUAUUACUUUGUAGGAAAGCUCACUCUAAUGUUUUCAAUCUCUGUAGAAUUCAAUAUGCAUUCCAAUUGCUUGAGAAGAAUGGCUUUUAAAGACAGCGUAGGUAAGACAUGCUUUUGGUUUGUAGCACAGUGGCUGUCGCAUCCUGCAGAUUCUGUCCCUCUUCCAUUGGAGAUUUCGCCAGGACACUUCCUGAAGGAGUUCACUCUUUUCUUUUAGUUCACAAAAUGAUUUGGGUUUGGGUAUGGAUGAUGGGGAACAAGAGUUAAGGAAAAAAAACUAAAAUCCUCAGUAAAGGGCAUUAGUGUUCAUGAAGUUUUUGCUUCCUGUUAUACAUUCCUGCCAUAGAAUGAACUAAAUUUUUGGAUUUUCUUCAAAGAUAGAAUGUGAUUGUGCUCAGAGUAUUAUGGCAGCCAAAAGGAAACCUACAAUCCAUAUCCCUUUUGCUCUUCAGUGUAGAACGAUUAUGAACAGAGAGGCAGACAUUUCCCACUGCACACAAACCUCAUCCUAUGAUACCUGUAUUGUGAAUUAGAAAAACUUCCUUGAAGUCUUCUAUAAGAUGCUGUUCUUGGACCAGAGAUACAUUAAGGGAAUUUGUAUCUUUCACGGUACUUCUCAGCUGUCUUAUAAAAACUGUAUUCUUCGGUGUUACAGCAGUAUUUUCCAAGCAGUUGUCACUAAAGACUUUGUGGACUGUAGCUUUUCCCUCUGCUUUUCUGGCUAUUUCUGCUGGUUAAUGCAUAGAGAAGGAAGAAUCACAUCUCUGAUCUUUAUGGCCUUUCUCUGCGAGGCUCAGCCCAGCUCAGGGCUCAUUGUAUCCCUCAGAGAAGGAAGCUUAACAUGCGAUGGCGAUACUCCACAGUCUGUCUUCAGCGUCUUUAUUUCAUGUCACAGGGACAGAAGAGAGAGCAGGUGGUGUGAUAAAGUAAUUAUGCACCGAAACUUAAAGUGCAGUUCACCUCAUCACUCUGUAGCAGCAGAGAUGAAAAUAAGCCAUGAUAAUGCCAGCACUCACCUGAAUAAAAAGAUUGCCCUGGUUGUAAUAGCAUUCAUUUGUUCCUUCAUACUGCUCCUUGUGCAGAAAGUUCAUCCAAGAAAGAAAAAACUGACUUAGAAUAUAAAAACGAAGACGUUCACCUAGCAACUAACUGGAUGUGUUCCAGUACUUGCUGAACCCCCUGUGGAGUGUUUCUUAUUGAUUUGUCAUGGAAUCUAUCAAAAGACCUGUUUCAGCUGUAGAUGUGCUGCCUGUGAGACUGGAAUUGGUGAACCGUAUUGUGCUCUGUUCCUGGAAACCUUUCUGCCUCUGAGAUCAAAAGAAAAAUUAAAGUGUUUUAUUCUUUUCCUCUCCCUUUCAUAUACUGAUGUCUCUUAGCUCAAACAAUUUAGAUGCUUCUCAAGUGAAGCUGGCAAAAGAUCCGGAGUGGGAGAAGUUUACUUGUGUGUGCAGGUUUGAUACCAGGCAGUAUUCCAAAAAAUAACCACGCUAACUAUGAUCUGAGAUAAGGUCUACAUAGUCUGGCUUAAGUUAAUCAUAAACUGUGUUCUGCUGGGUUGAUUUCUGCCCUUCACAAAAUCAUUCUUAAAAAAGCCAAAUAGAAAAUGCUUGUGCUGCUCAGACCAAAGUUUCAGCAGGAAAGGAUAAAAGGUUCUUGAGCAGAGAAUGGCUGCACCACUGACCACCUCUGUGUGCAGGACUGUGGCCAGGCUUUGCCUAAUGAUCUCAAGAGACAC